CUUCCUCUUCCUGGCAGGGGCCGGGCGUGCGGUCCCGGUCCCCAUAGUGUAUGGGGGCCGAGGCAAAGGGCUCUGGCCCCUCAGCAUCACGUCUUCGGUGCCGACGGUUUCGUCUGCAGGUUUUCUCCUCAAGCUCCGGGACAUGG